rnacentral:lncRNA from 1 species
UUCACCAUGUUGGCCAGGCUGGUCUUGAACUCCUGGCCUCAGGUGAUCCGUCCUCCUCGGCCUCUCAAAAUGCUGGGAUUACAAGCAUGAGGCAUUGCUCCUGGCUCUGAUUUUUUAAAUCUAAUUUAGCAUUAGAACCUAGUGUCACAGGGAUGGGUGUUAACACAUGUACUUGAAUAGAAAAAUUUCAGGGCUGGACGUGGUGACUCAUGCUGUAAUCCCAGCACUUUGGGAGGCUGAGAUGGGAGAAUUGCUUGAGUCUGAGAGUUUGAGAUCAGCCUGGGCAACACGGUAAAACCUGGCCUCUAUAAAAAAUACAAUAACAGGGCAUGGUGGCAUGUGCUUGUAGUCCCAGCUAUUUGUGGGACUGAAGCGAUGGCUUGAGCCUGGGAGCUCCAGGCUGCAGUGAGCAGAGAUCACACCACUGCAUUCCAGCCUGGGCAACAAAGACCCUGUCUCAAAAAACAAAACAAACAAACAAAAAAACCCAAAAAUGUAUAUAUAUAUGUAUACAUAUAUGUAUGUGUGUAUAUAUAUUUCAAAUACAUAACAUAAAAGCACC